GAGUUUGAUCCUGGCUCAGAGCGAACGCUGGCGGCAGGCCUAACACAUGCAAGUCGAACGAACUCUUCGGAGUUAGUGGCGGACGGGUGAGUAACACGUGGGAACGUGCCUUUUGGUUCGGAAUAACUCAGGGAAACUUGUGCUAAUACCGAAUGUGCCCUUCGGGGAAAGAUUUAUCGCCAUUAGAGCGGCCCGCGUCUGAUUAGCUAGUUGGUGAGGUAAAGGCUCACCAAGGCGACGAUCAGUAGCUGGUCUGAGAGGAUGAUCAGCCACACUGGGACUGAGACACGGCCCAAACUCCUACGGGAGGCAGCACGUGGGGAAGUCUUGCGCAAUGGGCGAAAGCCUGACGCAGGCCAUGCCGCGUGAAUGAUGAAGGUCUUAGGAUUGUAAAAUUCUUUCUACCGGGGACGAUAAUGACGGUACCCGGAGAAGAAGCCCGGCUAACUUCGUGCCAGCCGCCGCAGU
rnacentral:rRNA from 1 species